UUUAGGGUCUCCUCCUCUAAUUCCAGAGACUGCUCUCCUACAUUCACUUGAAGUUCCUCUGAAGGCUUGCGCAUGGUUAACCAAACUUCCUCAAAAUCAGCCAAGGUACGUCACGGUAACCGUUUCUGCAGCUGGUUCAAGGUGGAUUACACAGACUUGGGGUCAGGAAGCAAAUCCCUGGUUAAGCAGACAGGAACAAUGACUCGGUCUUGCGCAAAGCUGUAGCAUCCUGUACCACGCACCAUCUAUCUCUGACUGCGUCGUCCGAGGCCUGGCCUGAGGCUGUCCUCUUUGCUGGCUGCUACUAAAGUGAAUAUCAAAUACAAAUAUCAUAGAGUACAACUGUACCAGCAGUAAGUAUAUCUAGGAUUGUUACUGACAAAAAUAAACUAAUUCUGAAGAAAA